GACGUAGGGUCCAAGCGUUGUCCGGAAUUAUUGGGCGUAAAGAGCUCGUAGGUGGCGUGUCGCGUCUGCCGUGAAAGCCCAUGGCUUAACUGUGGGUCUGCGGUGGAUACGGGCAGGCUGGAGGCUGGUAGGGGCAAGCGGAAUUCCUGGUGUAGCGGUGAAAUGCGCAGAUAUCAGGAGGAACACCGGUGGCGAAGGCGGCUUGCUGGGCCAGUUCUGACGCUGAGGAGCGAAAGCGUGGGGAGCGAACAGG
rnacentral:rRNA from 1 species